rnacentral:lncRNA from 1 species
UGCUGUAUGCAUAUACAUGUAGCUGAUUUUAGAGCUAUCUGACUGAUGUAUAGUUUUGGUUGUGUAUGGAAAUAAUUUAGAUACGGAUAUGGUCGUUGUAAAAUCUUAGUGGAGUAUGGAUAUUGUUCAGCUAAGUUUUGGUGGAGCAUAGAUAUGGUCCAUGUUAAGUCUUGGUGGAGUAUGGAUAUGGUUCAUGUGAAGUCUUGGUGUAGUAUGGGUAUGGUUCAUGUGAAGUCUUUGUGGAGUAUGGAUAUGGUUCAGAUCGGAAUGUCACAGUCAAGCAACAUUUCUGUCAAAGUUUAGUACAUCGUAAUGUAUUCUAAUUUAUUUUAUAUUUACAGAGAUAACGUUUUAGUUUAAUCGUCUAUAUUUUUAAAACGUUUGUUUAAAUACAACAAUUACAAUAGAAAAAGGACUACGAACGAGUCACUUAAUAUGAUUAUUGUUUUUAAGUCGACCAAACGUUAUAACUCCUGUGAAGAAUAUCUUGUUUUCCUUUUAAUAAGUUAAUUAAAACAUAGAGAAAGAUUGGGAAAUUAUAUCAUUUUAUUUAUUUUAUUUCAUUAUUGUUGUGUACUUUUAAAGAUUUACAGAUAAGACGCACCAGAGUCCAAGUGUGUGAAAUGAGAAAAAAGGUUUCUGAGAAUUGGUACUGUUUCUGAGUAUGGACAUUUGUCUUCUGUAUUACAUGAUGGAGGUAUCGGUAUCGUACGUCGUUAUGACACAGAUUCUAGGCACCGUGGAUACAGGGAAUAAUUACAGAAUAUUAUUGAAAUGUUGCAUUUAUUCCGCGAGUAUUGUAACGAUGUUAGCUGUCAAUACAAUAGCCUAAACGUA